AUUGAACGCUGGCGGCAUGCCUUACACAUGCAAGUCGAACGGCAGCACGGGGGCAACCCUGGUGGCGAGUGGCGAACGGGUGAGUAAUACAUCGGAACGUGCCCAGUCGUGGGGGAUAACGUAGCGAAAGUUACGCUAAUACCGCAUACGAUCUACGGAUGAAAGCGGGGGACCGUAAGGCCUCGCGCGAUUGGAGCGGCCGAUGUCAGAUUAGGUAGUUGGUGAGGUAAAGGCUCACCAAGCCGACGAUCUGUAGCUGGUCUGAGAGGACGACCAGCCACACUGGGACUGAGACACGGCCCAGACUCCUACGGGAGGCAGCAGUGGGGAAUUUUGGACAAUGGGCGCAAGCCUGAUUCAGCCAUUCCGCGUGCAGGACGAAGGCCUUCGGGUUGUAAACUGCUUUUGUACGGAACGAAAAGGCUCUGGUUAAUACCUGGGGCUCAUGACGGUACCGUAAGAAUAAGCACCGGCUAACUACGUGCCAGCCGCCGCCGUAA
rnacentral:rRNA from 1 species